GUGGAUUAGAUACCCUGGUAGUCCACGCCCUAAACGAUGAAUACUCGAUGUUGGCGAUAUACGGUCAGCGUCUAAGCGAAAGCGUUAAGUAUUCCACCUGGGGAGUACGCCCGCAAGGGUGAAACUCAAAGGAAUUGACGGGGGCCCGCACAAGCGGAGGAGCAUGUGGUUUAAUUCGAUGAUACGCGAGGAACCUUACCCGGGCUUGAAAGUUAGUGAAUAAAGCAGAGACGCUUUAGUCCUUCGGGACACGAAACUAGGUGCUGCAUGGCUGUCGUCAACU
rnacentral:rRNA from 1 species